CCUACGGGAGACAGCAGUGAGGAAUAUUGGUCAAUGGGCGCGAGCCUGAACCAGCCAAGUAGCGUGAAGGAUGACUGCCCUACGGGUUGUAAACUUCUUUUAUAAAGGAAUAAAGUGAGGCACGUGUGCCUUUUUGUAUGUACUUUAUGAAUAAGGAUCGGCUAACUCCGUGCCAGCAGCCGCGGUAAUACGGAGGAUCCGAGCGUUAUCCGGAUUUAUUGGGUUUAAAGGGAGCGUAGAUGGGUUGUUAAGUCAGUUGUGAAAGUUUGCGGCUCAACCGUAAAAUUGCAGUUGAUACUGGCAGCCUUGAGUACAGUAGAGGUAGGCGGAAUGCGCGGUGUAGCGGUGAAAUGCAUAGAUAUCGCGAAGAACUCCGAUUGCGAAGGCAGCUUAC
rnacentral:rRNA from 1 species